rnacentral:rRNA from 1 species
UAACUGGGCGUUAAGUUGCAGGGUAUAGACCCGAAACCCGGUGAUCUAGCCAUGGGCAGGUUGAAGGUUGGGUAACACUAACUGGAGGACCGAACCGACUAAUGUUGAAAAAUUAGCGGAUGACUUGUGGCUGGGGGUGAAAGGCCAAUCAAACCGGGAGAUAGCUGGUUCUCCCCGAAAGCUAUUUAGGUAGCGCCUCGUGAAUUCAUCUCCGGGGGUAGAGCACUGUUUCGGCAAGGGGGUCAUCCCGACUUACCAACCCGAUGCAAACUGCGAAUACCGGAGAAUGUUAUCACGGGAGACACACGGCGGGUGCUAACGUCCGUCGUGAAGAGGGAAACAACCCAGACCGCCAGCUAAGGUCCCAAAGUCAUGGUUAAGUGGGAAACGAUGUGGGAAGGCCCAGACAGCCAGGAUGUUGGCUUAGAAGCAGCCAUCAUUUAAAGAAAGCGUAAUAGCUCACUGGUCGAGUCGGCCUGCGCGGAAGAUGUAACGGGGCUAAACCAUGCACCGAAGCUGCGGCAGCGACACUGUGUGUUGUUGGGUAGGGGAGCGU